GAAAGACAUAACUCCAUGGUUGGUUAUUCAACUUUCUAAUCUUGCUUUACUUUUAGGCCUGAAGAAUAAUGCUAUAUUGCGUGUUGAAACUGAGAAAUUGAGUUUGCUAAUGUAUAAGUUUCUUUGAUUAGUAGUUCUUGAAUCUAUUUUAGGUUCAUGAAAGUGUUUAAUUGUGGAUUUGAAAUUCCUAUAAGAAGGAAUCCAUCUCAUAUAAGUUUUCAUCUAUAUUUGCAAAUCUAAUCAAUUAAAAAUGAGCUGCCAAUCUAAUCAAUUAAAAAACAAGCCUACUUUUUCCAAAAAAAUUUAAAAUAAUUCUUCCGUCCAAAUAUAACAUUGAAGAUUAAUCUUAUACAGCUAUUGCGUGGUUCAAACAAUUCAUGUAGUUGUGAAUAAGAAGGGCUACUUUUCAUAUUUUCUUUAUUAUCUAGUUGUGUUUCUUGCCUUAUCAUUACGGAAAAAAAAAGGGUAACUGUGCUGAUUAUGCAUUCAUGUCUUGCUUGCAUAAUUAGGGAAGUUUUGUGUGAAAGUUGAUAAUAUAUUACUUCUUUUUGCCGUGAUCGUGACUAUUUAUAUUUUAACAUUUACUUUGUAUCAAUGGCAAAGCUAGAUACUAAUUUAUGGUGACCAAACAUAGAACAAUAAUUUCAAGUCCAACUACAUUGAAAUCAAGUUUCAGUUGAGUUGAGCUUGUUGAGAAUUAUGGACCCAGGUGUGUGAAUGUCAAAUUGGCUGGCUACACACUGAACUGGGCCUGAAACUAGGCUCCAUCACCAAAAUGGCUUAGGCUAUUUUG
rnacentral:misc_RNA from 1 species